GACCCUUCCCAAGGAGACCUGGGAGAGCCAAAGUCCUGGCGCCGCUGGCUGUGGGGAGUGGGAGAGGGGUCUUGGGACUCCUCCAAGACCCGCUCUAGUGGAGUCCAAGAAUGAGAUGCUUCAGGGAGCUGAGCACCUGAGCCUGCGUUACUGCUGCUGUCUCUCCCUGGAGUUUGAGCUGACCUAUGUCUCUCCAUCCUAGCUCCCUCAGCUGGCUGCCCCUGUCUUCCCCGGGGUCUUCUCUGUUCCCUAUUAUGGUCACUGCCCCCCACCCUCACCCCGGACUGGAAACUCCAGGCUCCUGCAGGACCGGGUCCCAGGAGAGAGGUUCAUGACGUAGGUCUAGGCAGCUUCCCUGACUCUUAAACCACUCCUGGCUGCUCCAGACACUCCCGGGGGCUGCCGGUCUGCAGGUAAGGGGGCAGCAGGAUCUCAAACGGAUUUCUGUCUCCUGGCAUUGCUUGCCCACCUGACCCCUUAAGGAGGGAUGGUGCUGGGUCCCCAACCUGGAUAGCUCGCUUCCCUGGCAUGACCUGAUGAGCAAAGGGAUUCAGUAUAGUGAGAGGAUCCUUGCUAUCUCAUCCUCUGCCCGAGUGGCCUUAGGUAAGUUACUCCAGUACUCUUUCUCAGUUCCCGCUUCUGUCAGAGUUACCUUGGCUACCACUCCAGAGGGUCUUUAAUUGCACAGCCACUUAGAGGGCUUGAAAAGCACAGGCCGUUGGACUCACCCGGAAAGUUUUAGAUUCUGUGAGACUGUGGGUGGGCUAGCCUCAGAUGCUGUGCUUAGGUGGAACGCACAGGAAGAUAAUCUUUUGGUUCUUGGUGUGGGCACCUAAACAAACAAACAAAAAAAAAAAAAACAAGAAACAAACAAAAAACACAAGACCCUGAUCUUUUACAGAGUGCUCAGCCUGCGUUCUAGUCGAUGCUGUGCAACAGGUGUGCACUUUAUUUAACAUUUAACAGCCCCUUUGAUGCUGCUGCAGGAGACAAGGCAGAUUUUAUUGUAGGAUGUCCCUGUUUGUGAUUUCACACCCAUGCCAUGCGGAAAGGCAGGCUAACUCCUUCUGUCUUGUUUUGUUUUGUUUGUUUUUGUUUUUGAGGUGGUGUUUUGUUUUUGUCUUUGUGUUGAGAGUUUUGCUCUGAAGCCCAAGCUGGCCUUAAACGUGCAAUCCCCCUGCCUCCGUUUCCCAGGCAGCUAGGAUUACAAGAGAGCAUCACAACGUGCAGCUUUCUUUUCCUAUCUGGAGGUCAGCUGCCCCAUCAGCCGGGUCCCUUUGAGGAUCCAGAUGUUCUAACAUCUGGGGGAAAUCCAAGGAUGAGUCUACCUUUUCCUAUGAAGAAAGCAAGGGCCAGAAGGACAUUGGGUCACUUAUUAAAAGGCACACAGCCAUCAGAAAUUUCUGGAACCCAGUUCUGGAUGAGUCUGAAGACUAGCCUCGAAUCCUUUCCUCUGGCCCUCCCUUCUUCCCACCACCCCUUUUUCCUCACCUGGGGCAGGCACCGAGGGAGGCAUAUGACAGGAAAGGUUAUUUUUAAACUUUCCUUGAAGCUGCUGUGGCCCCAGGGAUCCUGCCUAGCUCUCAGGAGCCUGUGAGAAGGCUCUGGUCUACUUCCUCUCCUGGCUCAAAAAAUGUGGGGAGCAGGCUAGAGGCUAAGACUCUUGGGUGUUCGAAAACUAGCUUGGAUGAGGGGUAUUCUGCCUUGCAGGAAUGAAUGGGGUGGUGGGGUAGAUUCCAAGAGGCCUGACCACAUAGGUCAUCUCCAUUACUGGGACACAGAAGUAUCACUUCUAUGGAAUUGGAUUGGGGGGGGAACAUUCUGGCUUUGGAAGAAACCUGAAGACCAACUCGUGAGACACCUUGGGAAGUCGUCAGGGGUUGGACCUCGGGUCCUAGGAUAAACCCUGGGGGUCUACUUACUGCAAAAUUAUGAUGCUUUGGGACUAUAUUGUCAAGAGGAAAUUUUUGUGGCAAUAACGGAGGAUAACAGGGGAGAGGCAAAAUAUGAUGUGUUUUCCUUUGUAUAUGAAACCUAGAUUUAAGUGUGUGCAUACACACAUAUGUACAUACAUACACACAUAUGUACAUACAUACACAUGUGACAGGAAGGCAGAAGGACAUUUGGGAGAGAGAAGAAACCAACGAGAUGAGAGAGGGGGUAGAUGGAUACUAGUACGAUGAUAUAUAUUGUGUGUGAAAAGUGUCCCAUCAUUUUGUACGCUAACUGUAAAAACAAUAAUUAAAAACAAAACGAGGAACGAGUCAGUCGCCCUUGGCCCUGGAUCUCUGAUCUAAAAUAUUUUGGGAUUUGUCAGCCAUGAGUCCUUCAUGGGUAUCUCUUGAGAUCUGAUGUGCAAGAACUUUGGUCCGUGGAGUGUACUUAGAGAAAGGGGCUCCCGUGAUGCUUCGCGGUGGGCUUUCUGUGUGUACCUGCAGGAAGUCUCAUCAGGAAUGCUCUGGGAAGGCAGGAGGGCGGGGUCGGUCACGUCAGGCCCGCCGCCACAAGACGUGCCCCACCCCCCGGGAAAUCAGCAAGGUCAUGGCGUCCAUGAAUCUGGGAGUGCUGAGUGAGAGCAGCUGCAGCGAAGAUGAGCUAUUGGAGGAAUGUAUCCGCUGCUUUGACUCGGCUGGCAGCCUGCGCCGAGGGGACCACAUUCUCAAGAUGGUGCUCACGAUGCACAGCUGGGUGCUGCCAUCCUCAGAGCUCGCUGCCCGUCUGCUGACUUCGUAUCAGAAGGCUGCCAAAGAUGCCCAAGAGCUAAGACAGCUACAGAUCUGUUACUUGGUCAGGUACUGGCUGACCCAUCACCAUGAGGCAGUGCACCAGGAACCCCAGCUGGAAGCAGUCAUAAGCCGGUUUUGGACCACUGUCGCUCAGGAGGGCAACAUGGCCCAAAGGAGCCUGGGAGAUGCCUCCAGCCUGCUAAGUCCUGGAGGGCCCGGUCCCCCACCUCCCAUGAGCAGCCCAGGCCUGGGCAAGAAGCGGAAAGUGUCAUUGCUAUUCGAUCACCUGGAGACAGAGGAGCUGGCACAACACCUCACUUACCUGGAGUUCCGGUCUUUCCAGGCUAUCACACCCCAAGACCUGCGGGGCUAUGUUUUGCAGGGUUCAGUGAGAGGUUGUCCAGCUCUGGAAGGUUCUGUGGGUCUGAGCAACAGUGUGUCCCGCUGGGUGCAGGUCAUGGUGCUGAGUCGUCCUGGGCCUGCACAACGUGCCCAGGUCCUGGACAAAUUCAUUCGUGUGGCACAGAGGCUUCACCAGCUGCAGAAUUUCAACACACUGAUGGCGGUCACGGGGGGUCUGUGUCAUAGCGCCAUCUCCAGACUCAAGGACUCCCACGUUCAUCUGAGCCCUGACAGCACAAAGGCCCUGCUGGAGCUGACAGAGCUCCUCUCAUCCCACAACAACUAUGCCCACUACCGCCGCACCUGGGCCGGCUGUACUGGCUUCCGGCUGCCAGUACUGGGUGUGCACCUCAAGGACCUGGUAUCUCUAUAUGAGGCUCAUCCAGACAGAUUGCCAGAUGGCCGCCUGCACCUACCCAAGCUGAAUAGCCUCUAUCUACGGCUGCAGGAGCUGAUGGCGCUCCAGGGACAGCAUCCUCCCUGCAGUGCCAAUGAGGACCUGCUGCACCUGCUGACGCUCUCCCUGGAUCUCUUCUACACGGAAGAUGAGAUCUACGAGCUUUCUUAUGCCCGGGAACCACGCUGUCCCAAGAGUCUGCCACCGUCCCCCUUCAAAGCACCAGUGGUGGUAGAGUGGGCCCAGGGUGUGACACCAAAGCCAGACAGCGUGACUCUGGGUCAGCAUGUGGAACAGCUGGUGGAGUCCGUGUUCAAGAACUACGACCCAGAAGGCCGUGGCUCCAUCUCUCUGGAGGACUUUGAGCGGCUGUCAGGCAACUUCCCGUUCGCCUGCCAUGGGCUUCACCCACCUCCCCGCCAUGGGAGUGGCUCCUUCAGCAGAGAGGAGCUGACCAAGUACCUGCUCCAUGCCAGUGCCAUCUGCUCCAAGCUGGGCCUGGCCUUCCUGCACGCCUUCCAGGAGGUCACCUUCCGAAAGCCCACGUUCUGUCACAGCUGCAGCGGCUUCGUGAGCACUGGCCCUGUUAGCACCCUUGGGUCCCAUCUCCCCUGGAUUGUCUCAGCUCCUCACACCCUAACUUGGGACAGUGUUGGGACAGGGUUUUGGUGGUGGUGGGGACUUCAGAAAUGUCCCCAUCUCAGAUAUUCCACCGAAUUCAUAUAAGCACCAAACACUGAAAUUCCUAUAUUCUCUACAUGCUAUCAGGUGAUCUUCACUGAGACAAUGGCCAAGCUGUAAAUACUCUCCAAACCCCCAAGCAAUACCAAAACAUGAUAAUCUGCAGAGCUGGGUAGAUUGUUUGGGCAUGGUGGUAUACUAGAAUCCAGGAGUACAAGGUCAUCCAUCCUCGGCUACAUAGGGAGUGAGCUUGAGGCCAGCCUGAGCUAUAGGAGACCCUGUCCUUUAAAAAACACUACCAUAUCUGGGUGUGGUGAUGACACAUGCCUUUAAUCCCAGCACUUGGGAGGCAGAGGCAGGAGGAUUUCUGAGUUCGAAGCCAGCCUGGUCUACAGAGUGAGUUCCAGGACAGCCAUAGCAACCCUGUUUUGAGAUAAUCCCACAUUCCUAACAUUUUGGUUAAUUGUCGGAUUCCUAAGAAAAUUCAAAACCCGUUGGCUUCCAUCCUUUGCUCCCUCCUUCAGUCCAGCUAACUGACUCCCCUUCCUUUCCCCAGCUCUGGGGGGUCACCAAGCAAGGCUAUCGCUGUCGGGCUCCUUCCCCCCAGACUGUGGGCUGUGUUGUCACAGACACUGCAGGGAUCAAGUGAGAGUGGAGU